GUCGUGGGAGGAGAUGCGGUCGGCGGGUGCGGCGGCGACUCUGGACGCGCGCCGGGCCCUUCUCGCGGAUCUCCCCAGCUGCGGCGCCCUUGGGGUGGGAGAGCUGAAACCCGGGUCGGACAUGGCCCGCAGCAGGGCUCAGCAGCCUCCAGAAGCUGAUGGCUGUGUGUCUUUAAUCCCCUGCUGGGUGGGAGAGCUGAAACCGGGGUCGGACCUGGCCCGCAGCAGGGCUCAGCAUCCUCCAGAAGCUGAUGGCAGUGUGCCUUUAUUUCCCUGCGGGGAGGGAGAGCUGAAACCUGGGUCGGAGCUGGCCCGCAGCAGGGCUCAGCAUCCUGCAGAAGCUGAUGGCAGUGUGCCUUUAUUUCCCUGCGGGGAGGGAGAGCUGAAACCUGGGUCGGAGCUGGCCCGCAGCAGGGCUCAGCAUCCUGCAGAAGCUGAUGGCAGUGUGCCUUUAUUUCCCUGCGGGGAGGGAGAGCUGAAACCUGGGUCGGAGCUGGCCCGCAGCAGGGCUCAGCAUCCUGCAGAAGCUGAUGGCAGUGUGCCUUUAUUUCCCUGCGGGGAGGGAGAGCUGAAACCUGGGUCGGAGCUGGCCCGCAGCAUGUCUCAGAACUCUCCAGAAGCUGAUGGCAGUGUGCCUUUAAUUCCCUGCGGGGAGGGAGAGCUGAAACCCGGGUCAGACCUGGCCCGCAGCGGGGCACAUCACCCUCCAGAAGCUGAUGGCUGUGUGUCUUUAAUCCCCUGCGGGGUGGAGGACCUGAAACCUGGGUCAGACCUGGUCCGCAGCAUGUCUCAGAACCCUGCAGAAGGUGAUGACUGUGUGUGUUUAAUUCCCUGCGGGGAGGGAGAGCUGAAACCGGGGUCAGACCUGGCCCGCAGCGGGGCUUAGCAGCCUCCAGAAGGUGAUGGCAGUGUGUCCUUAAUUCCCUGCGGGGUGGGAGAGCUGAAACCGGGGUCAGACCUGUCCCGCAGCGCCACUCAGCAGCCUCCAGAAGCUGAUGGCAGUGUGUCUUUGAUUCCUAGUGGGGCAGGGGAGCAAAGACCUGGGCAGAGGAGCGCCUGUCUGCAUCAGAUCUGGCCCCUCAGCAGCCCGCCGUGAGCCUUAGAGACCCCCCCAGCAGGCUCCAGGAGCCGGGCCCCGCAUCGGACCCACUACCUGAAAAAGGAAUUAAGUCAAUGGCACAUGUGGUGUUUAAAUGGGACCCAGAACUAUGUUGCACCAAGGAACUUUACAACUCAGCCCGAAGGCAGUGCAGACUGAUAUUAGCUAAAUUAAGUGAACCACGUCUCUCAAACUUUGUAUUUAGGUAGGGAUUUGUCUUUAGAAGAUGUUAAAACUUUUAUUUAGCUUACUCACCUCAGACUGGAGCCCGCCAUUGUGGGGGAGCAGAGUCGGUAGGCUACAUCUAAAUCGCGGAAGAGCCACGGUGGGCACAGCCUCCCUCUUCAAACGGAGAUGUGCAGAAUCGCGGGUAAAAUACUGGUUGCAGACUACAGCACCAGGUGGGGGCUGACUGUUUUCCAGACACCGAUUGCACGCAACCACUGGCGCCUAAUUUCUAAGUCCAGCAGAAAGGAGUGCAACCCGUGCAACCCCACAGAGCCACCGCAACGACACUACACUACACCUUCUCACCAUACUAACAUGAUAUGGAGCACUAAACACGAACUACUUUCCUAAUUACACUAACAGCCAAACACUAACUAAACUACAAUAUCCAACAGCCAAGCUAACACUAAAUAAGUAUGUAUAACACUAAAAGCUAUGCUAAAGACUAGGAUAUGCUAAUGCUGAACUACGGCUAACCUCCUACACUCGCUUACAAAUCCAAAUCCCAACUCGCCACAAGGCGUGGCCGAGAUGCUUGAUGCUUUUAUAACUUUGACACAGAGCUGCUACGCAGUACUCUACUGGUUUACGUAGUAUCUUACUCUUUAGCCAUUGGCUAAAAUUUAUUCAAAAUGACUCAAACUCUAUGUUUUAAGCUGAAGGUGGCGCUAUACUGUGGUAUUUAGACAGAAUUUUUAAUUUUUAAAGAAAAUGCACCAAAAUGCUAAAAUAAUGAAUACACACAUUUAAAACACUAUUAGACACUCAUUUAUACAGUUCAUCAGCAAAAAAAAGUUAAUUUAGACGUUACUUGCUCUUUAACAGCAGUAAAAAGGACAAAAUUUCCAUUUUUCUUUUCAUGACCGCUGAUACUUCCAGUCAGUGCUGCGAGAAAGUCAUAGAUAAAUGAAUACUGUGAUCUAAUCUCAACGUGUCUGAGGCUUAAAAUGCAGCAACUUCAUUUUUAUUUUACAGUUAAUGUUUCAAAGGAAAAACAAAUCAGUAUUAACUGUGGAUAGACUCAGUUAGGAACUUAAAGUAAACGACAGAAACACGUGACUAUGAUCAAAACAUUGAUGUCAGGAAAAUAAACUGUAUUGCUUACCUUCGUCUCUUAGCGUCUUUUCCGUUAGUCAUGCUCAAGAAUUUAUUCGGGUCCCAUUUAAACUAUUUUUAAUCUUUUAUUCAAAAAUCCACUGGGUAAACAGUUCUGUCCACAGAGUGUGCUGCGCUCUAAAGGCUCCGUGUGAAACGCUGCAGCGCAUUAGUUCCCGUCUCCGAGGCAGCGCGGGGAAAAAAAAUCCGAUCUCUUCAGCACAGGGGCCAUUACAGGGGCCAGGGCCGGUACUACAGGGGCCCAGGCCCCUGUAGGCCCCUGUUUAAAACCGCCAAUGCUCUAGAAUCUUCUGAUUAAACAUUCAAAGAUCCAUCAGGUAUAUGGAAUCAUCACAUUUUAUUGGCCAUUAUUAAUAUGUAGUAUCAAUCAUCAUCACGCUACAAAUAUAUACAUUUUAUUACUUUAUUAUGUAUUUUUUAUUAUUGACUUACUCCAAAGGGUUCAAAUGAAUGCAACUGGACUUCUUUGGUUGCUUGAAGAUGUUUUGCUUCUCAUCUGAGCAGCUUUGUCAAUUCUAAUUGGAAUUUGGGAGAGUCAAGCUUAUAAACUAUAGCUGUCUAUUGUUAUUUAACGAGCAGAAACUACUCUGGGUACCCCUCCUCUCUACCCCCUGAUGAGUCUUUAGCUCCUAUUGAGAGGGAGACGUUGUGUUGAUUAGAUGCAGGAAGGUGUGGCCUAGAUUGAAACUGCUUAGGAUUGAGAUUCAAAGCUCCAUUAUAUACACUGGAAAGGUGAAAUCUUUCUUCUAGAGAUGUACAAUAUAUCGGCAUCAAUACUGACAUUGGCCGAUGUAAGUCAUUUUUUAACAUAUCGGCAUCGGUUCGAUAAAUAAAACCAGGCCGAUAUUAACGACAAUAUUUUUUCCAUCUUGUCUCCAUUUGUUUGCCUGUUUCAGAGAGUGACGGGGGUGAUGUGUAAUUGUUCAGUCAUGUAAACAGUGAAUGAAAUAAUCUCAGAACCGAAAAUGUGUGUGGUGUGUACAUAAUGUAAAUUCAGUUUUAAUCAUUUUCAUUCUAUAAAAAAUCUGCAGAUUUUAGAAGCAUUAAUGUCGUAUGUCGGUAUGAGCAAGUAUCGGUUAUCGGCCAUAACAGUGAUCUGACAUGGUCUGGGGAAUACGCCUAAACCAAGACAUGCAUAAUCACAACCUACACACAGAAUGAUGGAGAAAAUAAUGUUUAUUGAAAACGGGGAACUGAAGGCGCACUGGUAAGUCCAGUGGGAUCGAGAAACGGGAGCGCAGCGUCUGAGGAGGGGAGAGCAAAUACAGGUGAGUUCAGGGAGGUGUCUUAACUUGGUGGAUGCAGAGAACAGACUUACUGGGAGUUGAGGGGAAGCACAGGAAUGAGGGAGGGCAGUUUGAGAGCCGGGGUGUAUCCAAGUGUGUGUGUGUGUGUGUGUGUGUGUGUGUUGGGGGGGGGGGGGGGG
ensembl:lncRNA